rnacentral:rRNA from 1 species
GACGAACGCUGGCGGCGUGCUUAACACAUGCAAGUCGAACGGAAAGGCUCCAGCUUGCUGGAGUGCUCGAGUGGCGAACGGGUGAGUAACACGUGGGCAAUCUGCCCUGCACUCUGGGAUAAGCCUGGGAAACUGGGUCUAAUACCGGAUAGGACCUUUCUCCUCAUGGGGUUUGGUGGAAAGUUUGUCGGUGCAGGAUGAGCCCGCGGCCUAUCAGCUUGUUGGUGGGGUAAUGGCCUACCAAGGCGACGACGGGUAGCCGGCCUGAGAGGGUGAUCGGCCACCUUGGGACUGAGAUACGGCCCAGACUCCUACGGGAGGCAGCAGUGGGGAAUAUUGCACAAUGGGCGCAAGCCUGAUGCAGCGACGCCGCGUGAGGGAUGACGGCCUUCGGGUUGUAAACCUCUUUCAGUAGGGACGAAGCGCAAGUGACGGUACCUGCAGAAGAAGCACCGGCUAACUACGUG